AAAGCAACUUUUCGGCGUUUCCUUAAUCCGUGCACGCGCGCGCGCGCCUGGAUAUGGAACCCGGGGCCGAGACAGAGGAGGGACCUGCGAGGCAGAAGAGCAGCCGCGAAGGAGCGGAGAGCAGCUGGAGAAGCCAUGGCUGACGGCUGUGUGGACCAGAGGAGCCUCCCGAGGGUCAAGGAGGCAUGCCGCGACUUUGCCGUACUGGAGGAUCACUCGCUGGCACACAGCCUCCAGGAGCAGGAAAUCGAGAGCCACCUGGCAUCCAACGUACACAGGAGCCGGCUGGUGCAGCAGGACAUCCAGGUGGCCCGUCAACUCCAGGAGGAGGAGGACCUGGCAGCCAGAGCCCGCGCCCGGCAGCUCCACGGGAAAAUGGAGCGGAGUGACGGCGAGGUUGCCCAGGAGAUGCAGGAGCGGCUCGUCCACCAGGCAUGGCUGCUGCGGCAGCAGGAAGAGAAGGACGAGGCCAUUGCACGCAAACUCCAGGAGAAGGAGGUGAAAGAGCGAAGGAAGAAGAGGAGUACAAAGCAGGUUGUGACCUUCGAGGAGCCCCACUACGAGGACAAAGGAGCCUUCCUAUUUCGCAGGGAGCCAAGGUCUUCAGAGGCCCUGUCUCCAGUCUGGGGAUCCAAACCUGCCCCCUUAGAAGCUGGCCGAAGCAGACUGGGCUUCAGUAGGGUUGGUGAUGAAGAAUGUAUAAGGUCCCGGGACUCAUCGGACUCUAAGAGGCCUGCUCAAAAGAAGGAGAAGCCAGAAAGGCCUCCGCCACCCCGGUUUGGCUCUGAUCGAGAGCUGGACGAGGCAGGCAGGGAUGGCAGCGCAGAGGGAGAGCAGGAGGAGGACCCGCUGAGGGACAGGAUGGCUGACGGAGAACCCCAGAAAGACGAAAGUCUAGAAGACGUUGUGCCUGGUGGCAUCCGGGCCCAGGUGGCGUGGGCCAGUGGAAGCCAGGGCCAGGGGAGGCCAGCAGGGGGGCAGGAGGAUCUGCAGGAAAACAAGUGGCCGCCACGACCUGCUCGAGGUCCAGGCUGGAAUACACAAGCCCAAUAUGGCAUUGGGGACGUGACCAAGAGCAUUGCCCAUCUAGACAUGCAGGAUCAGGAGUUUAAGGACUUGAAGGUGGCCAGGAGGUUGCAGGAGGAAGAGCUAAAGGCAUCUCAGUUGGACAAGCGGGCAGCUCAGGUUGCCAAGGAUGAGGAAAUUGCUCGGCUAAUCAUGGAGGAAGAGAAGAAGAACUUCAUGAAGUCCAAGAACUGGGACAAGAGGCGGCCACAGGGAGACUUUAAGCAGUCUGGCUCAGAGGGGGUGGCCAGGCCCAGGUCACAAGAAGAGGGCGAGAUCAACCGAACACGGAGCCAGAAGCCUGUGAGGCCACCACCUCCUUCAUACAAGUAUGAGAACGUGGAGUCCACCUACAUGCCCCUGAAGCCCUCCUACUCCUCCCAGCCAUCCAGCAGGCCUGAGGCCACACACAAGGGUUCCUUUCACAGGCAGUGACUGGGAUUUGUUCCCCUUUUUAAUCAAUUCAGUUUUUGAAGCUAGGUGGCCUCGGGGUAAUUUGUCAAGCAUCAGUGAAAAUCCCCCCAACGUGCCAUGAGUCCAAGAACAGGUCACUUGUUUUUCUUUGAGCACCGAGACACAGAAAAGGGAACAAAUUUUUAUGUGGCAUGAAAUUUCAACUCAUCAACAUUCUAAUACCAAACCAGAAAGAGAAAGAGGAACUCCUGCUCCCUGGCAGCUGUCCACGGGGGCGGAAACUGCAACGUGUCCCCACAUGCUGGCCCGCAGCUCCCGGGACCCUUCGCCUUCCCUUCGAGGGUCUCGGCCUUUCGAAGCUCAAGAGCGGAGCAACACGCUUUCGUCAGCAGAGCCUCCAAAAUGCUCGCAGCAGUUAAGAACUCCCGGUCCCAAACGCGUCCUAUCGGCAAGACAACGCAGCGCAGUACAAGUGUCCUUAUCGCACAUUCUGCAAAGCGCUCGCUUGUUUGCGUCGCCUCGGGGUGUGAAACAUUCCUCAGCUCUCUGAUCCAGAUCGGCUCUCAUUUUUCCCAUGUCUGACAGACACCAAACGGCUGGAGGGUACAAGAAUCCACUGGACUCUCAUAAAUCUAAUAACUGACAAUAUUGGCCCUGAGCAGGAGUUGGUGAAUGAUGGGCAGCGGAGUGCCGACAGCUGUUGAUUUGGGUUUGAGGUCACUGGUUCGAAUCCCACCUCACGCUGUAGAGCCCCUGAUCAAGGUACUUCGC